AAUUGAGGGGGGCUGCUCCUAGUACGAGAGGACCGGAGUGGACGCAUCACUGGUGUUCGGGUUGUCAUGCCAAUGGCACUGCCCGGUAGCUAAAUGCGGAAGAGAUAAGUGCUGAAAGCAUCUAAGCACGAAACUUGCCCCGAGAUGAGUUCUCCCUGAGACUUUAAGUCUCCUGAAGGAACGUUGAAGACGACGACGUUGAUAGGCCGGGUGUGUAAGCGCAGCGAUGCGUUGAGCUAACCGGUACUAAUGAACCGUGAGGCUUAACCUUACAACGCCGAAG
rnacentral:rRNA from 1 species